rnacentral:rRNA from 1 species
GGACCUGACUGCUAUCGGAUUGAUACUAAGCCAUGCGAGUCAUUGUAGCAAUACAAGGCAUACGGCUCAGUAACGCGUAGUCAACCUAACCUAUGGACGGGAAUAACCUCGGGAAACUGAGAAUAAUGCCCGAUAGAACAUUAUGCCUGGAAUGGUUUAUGUUCCAAAUGAUUUAUCGCCGUAGGAUGGGACUGCGGCCUAUCAGUUUGUUGGUGAGGUAAUGGCCCACCAAGACUAUUACAGGUACGGGCUCUGAGAGGAGUAGCCCGGAGAUGGGUACUGAGACACGGACCCAGGCCCUAUGGGGCGCAGCAGGCGAGAAAACUUUGCAAUGUGCGAAAGCAC